GGAGGGGUGCAGGGAAUCUGGCUAUCCGGGCGGUCUUGAAAACCGCUGGGUGGAAACACCCUUGUGGGUUCAAAUCCCACCCCCUCCGCCA
rnacentral:tRNA from 1 species